rnacentral:piRNA from 1 species
UGUGAUAAACUGGAGCCACCCCAAGACCUU